rnacentral:rRNA from 1 species
AUGGAGAAGUGGGAGGAGGCCCCGCUGCUGGAGCACAGGAAGGCGGAGCAUAAUGUGAGCGGCGACGGAGAGGCCCGGCUGGGGCGCCGGCUGUUGGAGGAGAACCGGACGCUGUGGGCGGUGGCGGGGCCAGCCAUCUGCACGCGCUUCUCCACCUUCGGGGUCACCGUUAUCAGCCAGGCCUUCAUGGGCCACAUCGGCUCCACCCAGCUUGCCGCCUACGCCCUCGUCUCCACCGUCCUCAUGCGCUUCAGCAACGGCAUACUGCUGGGCAUGGCGAGCACACUGGAGACGUUGUGCGGGCAGUCGUACGGGGCGAAGCAGUACCACAUGAUGGGCAUCUCCCUGCAGCGCUCCUGGAUCAUCCUGACCGGCUGCGCCGUGCUCAUGCUCCCCAUCCUCAUCUUCACUGAGCCUCUCCUUGUCUCCAUCGGCCAGGACCCCCUGAUCAGCGCUGUCGCGGGGACCAUCUCGCUCUGGUACAUCCCUGUCAUGUUCGCCAACGUCUUCAGCUUCACUCUCCAGAUGUACCUGCAGGCACAGAGCAAGAACAUGGUCAUCACCUACCUUGCAUUUGUCACCCUCGGUCUCCAUGUGUUCCUGCCGUGGCUCUUCACCGUCAGGCUGCACCUUGGGCUCGCUGGGGCCAUGACCUCCAUGGUCAUUGCCAUGUGGAUUCCUGUGUUUGGGCAGCUCAUCUUCGUCUUCUUUGGUGGCUGCCCUCUCACAUGGACCGGGUUCUCCUUCACAGCACUCACCGACCUUGUCCCUAUCCUCAAGUUAUCUCUAUCCUCUGGUGUCAUGCUCUGUUUGGAAUUGUGGUACAGCACCAUAUUGGUGCUCCUUACCGGGUACAUGAAGAAUGCAGAGGUUGCACUUGACGCUCUUUCAAUAUGCCUUAACAUCAAUGGUUGGGAGAUGAUGAUUUCUAUUGGCUUUUUGUCUGCAGCAGGAGUGCGUGUGGCAAAUGAGCUUGGAGCUGGAAGUGCAAGAAGGGCCAAGUUCGCCAUCAUAAAUGUCGUCACCACUUCCUUCUCAAUAGGCCUUGUGUUGUUCGUGUUUUUCCUUUUCUUCCGCGGAAAGCUUUCCUACAUAUUUACUACGAGUGAAGAGGUAGCUGCCGCAGUUGCUGAGCUGUCGCCUCUUCUAGCCUUCUCCAUCUUGUUGAACAGUGUUCAACCAGUGCUAUCAGGUGUUGCUGUUGGUGCGGGUUGGCAAAGUGUAGUUGCCUAUGUCAACAUCACAACAUAUUACUUGAUUGGUAUCCCUCUUGGAGCAAUCCUAGGUUAUGUUCUUGGAUAUCAUGUGAUGGGCAUUUGGGUUGGCAUGCUGCUCGGAACACUGGUCCAAACAAUUGUACUUGUGUUCAUAACAAUCAGGACUGACUGGGAUAAACAGGUAGAGGUUACCGAGGAGAGAUUGAAGAGAUGGUACAUGGAUGGGAACAAAGGGAAGUCAGAUUCAAGGGGAAAUCCAUGA